rnacentral:rRNA from 1 species
UACGGAAGGGGCGAGCGUUGUUCGGAAUCAUUGGGCGUAAAGGGCGCGUAGGUGGUUCUGUAUGUCUACCGGGAAAGCGUACGGCUCAACCGUAUUUUGUCGGUAGAAACUGCAGGACUUGAGGCUGGGAGGGGCUGGUGGAAUUCCCUGUGUAGCGGUGAAAUGCGUAGAGAUGGGGGAGAACACUCGUGGCGAAGGCGGCCAGCUAGACCAGUUCUGACACUGAGGCGCGACAGCGUGGGGAGCAAACAGG